CAGGGUUUCAAUGUUUACCAAAUUCCUCUACUAUAUAAGUCUAAUGCUUAUGGGGGCAUAAUUUCUUUAGAUUUUUUUGAUUACGGUGUAUUAGAGUUUGAUAUCUAAAGAGUAAAAUAUUCUUGGUCAUUGUGCAUACUGGUAGUUCAUUGUGAAAAUUAACAAAUUUGAUUCAUAUUGUUCUCAAAUUUUUGGAGGAGCUAGGAAAUUCUUGAGGAUUACUUCAUCUUUGGUGAUCAAUAAAUCUCUUAUUAUUAUCUACAAUAUAUGGAAUUUUAAUUUCUUAUAUUCCUACACAAUCCGAAUGUAAGUAGUUGGGAUGAAGGUAUUUUCUAUAUGAGUAACUCAUGAAAAUCAUUGGAAUUUCAUAUUAUAACUUUUUUGGAAAUAUAAAUGAUUCGUGAGUAGCACCCACACUUACCUCCUUAGGUGGGCCAACCAACACAUCUAAACCCCAACAUAUACCAAUAGUUCAACUAUAAAUAAUAUAAAUAAUGCGGAAACUCCAAAAGAUACUAAGCAACCAAUUUAAAUAAGUUUCUAAAGUUUAAUGCUUAUCAUCCCAAGAUCUUAUAGUCAUCACAUAAAGGACAUCUAUUUCCAAGUUACCAUAUCUAAGAGUGUUUAAGAAACCAAAAUAAGGAAAAAGAUGGUCCAUCUCAAAAUUCAAAGACAUUGAGAUGUGAAUGAGAGAAUCCAGCACGAGCUAUAAUUAAUAGCUCACCAUGAACUCUGAUGUGCUGGAGAGUGGCUAGAGCUGAGGGCGAGUCGAAGUCAAUGGUACACUUGCUGCACUCUACAAAAUAACAGAGAAGAAAUACAAGUAAGGGUCAGUAGAAGGAACACAUACUGAGUAGGUAUCAUCGGCCAACUCAAAAUAGAAAUCAAUAUAUAUUGAAUAAUAAUAUAAAAUCAACUACAAUACUUAACAGGUGAUAAGCAACAAAACACAUGAACCAUUGACAACAACACCAUAACAGGUACACAAUCAAUAACAACAUCAAGCACACCUAUAAGGACUCAUGCCUCCACACCAUACUCAUUUAAAAGAUAGGUUCUUUGAGGUUAAGUAUAUUAAGUUACUUCAAGAUUCCUUUCCUAUAAUGUUAUUUUGUCGGAACGUGACACUCCGUUCCCAUAUACUGUGUCGGAACGUGACACUCCAAUCCCAUAAUACCGUGUCUGAACGUGACACUCUGAUUCAAUAAUACCGUGUCGGAACGUGACACUCCGAUCCAAUUAUCUUAUUAUUUUAUUUCAUCAAGCCUUCUUUAUUCAAGGCGUCAUUUUACUAGAGAGGGUUUAAGAUUAGAAAUUCAACAGUCUCAUAAUUUUAGGUCAACCACCAACCACACAAUCAAGGCAUACAACCACACAAUCAAGUACAUAGGAGACUUUACAAUAUCACUUAAUACAUAUCUAUCUCUAUUGAGAGUUUAUCUAUCAAAAAAAAAUAAAUCAUAACCUACCUCCACCGAAGAACCGAAGUCAAAUAAGCUAAUUCUCCAAUACUUUUCCUGUCCUCAGAGCCUUCAACCUUUCCAAUAUAUUAAGUAUAUAUGCACAAUUUGUAAAGUAACAAGUCUAUAAACACUCAUAUUAUUUUAUGUCUAGCCGAGACCCAAUAACCCACCUAAUUCUAUAAGCACUUUCCUAAAAUUCAAACCUAAAGGUAAGUCUCAAUCCCUCCAAUUAGCUUACCUUUAACGGAUAAAUAAUUCAAUACACCUAAUAUUUAAUUACCUAUGUCAAUAUAUAAAAAUAUAUUUUAUAAUGUAUAACAAAAUAUAAUAAUAUUUCAGAAAUGAAGUUACUGGUUACGAAACUAGUGGCAUCAACCAUGAAUCCACUCAAAAAUCUUUAGUCUCAAACUUUCACUAAUUAAUGAGGACCAUUAAAAGUUCUAUCAAAUUCUAUAGAUAGUAAGAAUUUCAUUAUUAAUAUAAAAAAAAUGUCCUUCAAUUCAUCACUAACAUCAAUAAUCGAUAAUUUUCCCAUAUUGUUUAAUAAUUCACUAGAAAAUUAUAAACUUAUGUAACCAUGAGAUAACUUUGUCUCCACCCAAAACCAAUCACUAGCACGUGAUCCCUUAAAUUGCAACUUUCAAUCUUUUAAAAAAAAAUAAAAAAAAAUCUUUUAAUUCUUUUCCUGUUCUUCUAAUUGAAUAUUUUAUUUAAUUUCCUUUGCAACAAACACUAAUAAUAACAAUUAUACUAAUACUAACAUGAACAAGGGUUAAAAUAUUAGGAUGAGAAAUUUUACCUGAAGGAUUUGCAGGCUUUCACACAACCGCUCUCUGUUGCUUUCUUUCGUAAUCUACCUCUAUUUCAUCUUCUCUUUUUUUA
rnacentral:lncRNA from 1 species